rnacentral:rRNA from 1 species
AUGGCUGGUAGAAUCAACAUAUUUGCUCCUAACUUGUCCCCCCAUGCUUCUAGAUUCUGGAAAGGCAUUAAAACCACUAUCCAGGCAUUGAAGUUUGGUUAUAGAUGGAAAAUUGGGUCAGUCACCAAAGUCAGAUUCUAGGAGGACACCUGGUUUGGUACCUCUCCUCUGGCUGUGCAAUUCUGGCCUAUUUACUCCAUUUGCAACGAGCAAACCAAGAGUGUUAGUGAGCUUUGGGAUGGGUAUCAGCUCAGACUAACUUUUAGGAGGAAUUUUGAUGACAUUCUUAUGGAACAAUGGCAUUCUUAUGGAACAAUGGCAUCAGUUGGUUGA